AUACGAAGGGGGCUAGCGUUGUUCGGAAUUACAGGGCGUAAAGCGCGCGUAGGCGGACUGAUCAGUUGGGGGUGAAAUCCCAGGGCUUAACCCUGGAACUGCCUCCAAUACUGUCAGUCUUGAGUUCGGGAGAGGUGAGUGGAAUUCCUAGUGUAGAGGUGAAAUUCGUAGAUAUUAGGAAGAACACCAGUGGCGAAGGCGGCUCACUGGCCCGAUACUGACGCUGAGGCGCGAAAGCGUGGGGAGCAAACAGGAUUAGAUACCCUAGUAGUCC
rnacentral:rRNA from 1 species